GACAUUUACACUUGUUGCAGCGAAGUAUUUGGCUCAUGUCGUACAUCAUGCGAAAAUCUUUCUCUGGUGCAAUUGGCCUCCACAGACAAUGCGAAUGGUCGUAGCCUGCGCUUGGAGUUGAAGAAAUAUUGUCCCUCAAUGCAAACCAGCUUUUGGAGUUGCAUGAAUCUCACAUUAGAAGCCGUUGCACGUGGCGCUGAGUGGUCGGGUCGACGUUGUUGCGCCUUGGGCUUGUCACCACGCUGCCGCAAUGCCUGCGCCACAUCAGAGUCCACAACGG